CCUACGGGCGGCAGCAGUGGGGAAUAUUGGACAAUGGGGGGAACCCUGAUCCAGCCAUGCCGCGUGUGUGAAGAAGGCCCUCGGGUUGUAAAGCACUUUCAGUGAGGAAGAACGCCUGGUGGUUAAUACCCAUCAGGAAAGACAUCACUCACAGAAGAAGCACCGGCUAACUCCGUGCCAGCAGCCGCGGUAAUACGGAGGGUGCGAGCGUUAAUCGGAAUUACUGGGCGUAAAGCGCGCGUAGGUGGCUUGAUAAGCCGGUUGUGAAAGCCCCGGGCUCAACCUGGGAACGGCAUCCGGAACUGUCAAGCUAGAGUGCAGGAGAGGAAGGUAGAAUUCCCGGUGUAGCGGUGAAAUGCGUAGAGAUCGGGAGGAAUACCAGUGGCGAAGGCGGCCUUCUGGACUGACACUGACACUGAGGUGCGAAAGCGUGGGUAGCAAACAGGAUGAGAUACCCGAGUAGUC
rnacentral:rRNA from 1 species